rnacentral:rRNA from 1 species
UACGGAGGGUGCAAGCGUUAUCCGGAUUCACUGGGCUUAAAGGGUGCGUAGGUGGGAUGGUAAGUCAGUGGUGAAAUCUCCAAGCUUAACUUGGAAACUGCCGUUGAUACUAUCAUUCUUGAAUCUCGUGGAGGUAAGCGGAAUAUGUCAUGUAGCGGUGAAAUGCUUAGAUAUGACAUAGAACACCGAUAGCGAAGGCAGCUUGCUGGACGAGUAUUGACACUGAGGCACGAAAGCGUGGGGAGCAAACGGG